rnacentral:lncRNA from 1 species
UAGCCUUGAUGAGUCAGAGUGGGAGUGUCCUCCCAACACUUGGGGAUCAGAGUGGCUAAUGAAACCUGGAGACUUUCCAAGUAGGUUUAGUCUUUACAUCAGACCCCCCCUUACACCCCUUCUUUUGAAGGUCCACAAAGCACAGUCCUGCUAUUUUUUGCAUUGCAUAAGUUAGGGUUCUUCAAGCUCUUGUGACUUUUAGUUUUGCCUACACUGCUGCCCAGUGCCUCCCCAUCACCCCCCCCACCGCCAGCCCCCGAAAGGCUGUGCUUCCCAGAUGUUUGCAAAUCCGAAACAGCCCAGAUGACAAAAUGCAUACAUGUUGUAAUUGUCUAAGUCAGUCCAUCUUCACUUACUUUGCUCUGGUUCCCAUUUGUCUUAUCAAGUUCAACAGUAAAACUUGGAUUCAGGCGGUAGGCAGAAUAAUGGCCCCCUAAAGAUGUCCAUAUCCUGAUCCAGGAAACUGUGAAUAUGUUAUAUUACAUGUCAAAGGAGAAUUAAAGUUGCAGAUGGAAUUAAGCUUGCUAAUCAACUGGCCCUAAAACAGGGAGAUGAUCCUGGAUUAACCAGGUAGGCCUAAUGUUAUCCCAAGUUUCUUAAGAGUACAAGACAGGCAGAAGAGGAGGUCAGAGUGAUGGACCAUUUAACUGGAUUCACUAUCGCUGAUUCUGAAGAUGGAGAAAGAAGGUCAGGGAGCAUGGGCAGCUUCUAGGAGGUGGAAAGGGCUAGGAAACAGAUUCUCCCCUAGGGCCUCUCAAAGGGAACAUAGUCCUGCUGAGACCUUGAUUUUAGCCCAAUGAGACCCACAUCAGAUUUAUGAACUACAGAAUUGAAGAUAAUAAAUAUGUAUUUUCUUAAGCCACUGAAUUUUUGAUUAUAUGAUUUGUUACUGCCACAACAGGAAACAAAUACAGUUAGCUGGGACCUAAAUAAUCAGAAAAUACAAUCCACUGACAUUUUUUCUGCUUAUCACUUUUAAGAGAAAUAUGCAAAUCUCAAGAAAAGUUUAAAUCAACAAUUUACUUAAAAAUUUUUUUCAUUGGAGUAGAGUUGACUUAACAAUGUUGCGUUUCAUGUGUACAGCAAAGCAAAACAGUUAUACAUAUGCAUAUAUCCAUUAUUUUUCAGAUUCUUUUCCCAUAUAGGUUAUUUCGGAGUAUUGAGUAGAUUUCCCUGUGCUAUAUAGUAAGGUCUUAUGGCUUAACUACUUCAUAUAUAGUAGUGUGUGUGUGAUAAUCCCAACCCCUAAUUUAUCCCUCCCCCCAACAUUUCCUCUUUGGUAGUCAUAAGCUUGGCUUCAAAAUCUUUUGAGUCUGUUUCUGCUUUGUGAAUAAGUUCUUUUGCAUCAUUUUUCAUUAGAUUCCACAUAUUAGUGAUCUCAUAGGCCAUUUGUCUUUUUCUGACUAACUUGGACAUGGUAAUUUCUAGGUCAUUCCAUGUUACUGCCAAUGACAUUGUUUCAUUCUUUUUUAUGGCUGAAUAAUAUUCCAUUGUAUAUACGUACCAUACCUUCUUCAUCCAAUACUCUGCAGAUGGACAUUUAAGUUGUUUGCAUGUCUUAACUAUUGCAAAUGGUGCUGCAAUGAACAUUGGGGUGCAUCUAUCUUUUUGAAUUAUGGUUUUCUCCAUAUAAAAGCCUAGGAGUGGGAUUGUUGGAUCAUAUGGUAGUUUUAUAUUUAGUUUUUGAAGGAACUUCCAUACCAUUCUCCUUAGUGGUUGCACCAAUUUACAUUCCCACCAACAGUGUAGGAGGGUUCCUUCCACCACACCCUUUCUAGCAUUUAUUGUUUGUAGAUUUUUUUUUAAUGUUGGCCAUUCUGACUGUGUGAGGUGAUACCUCAUUGUAGUUUUGAUUUGCAUUUCUCUAAUAAUUAGUGAUGUUGAGCAUCUUUUCAUGUGUUUUUUGGCUAUUUUUCUAUCUUCUUUGGAGAAAUGUCUAUUUAGAUCUUCUGCACAUUUUUUGAUUGGGUUGUUUGAUAUUUUGAUAUAUCAACAAUUUACUUUUAAGCAAGAUCUUAGAUUGAGACAGAUUCUCACAUGGAAAAUUGGGGGCCACGGGUUUACUGGGGAGAACUCCCAGGAGGUUCACCCAUAAGGGACAAGGACCCAGCAGAGGGAGAUGCUGCCCUGAAAUGCAGCUGCAUCUGAGGCCUCAGCUGAUCCUACAGGCAACGCUGCAGCUGGGGGAAGCCCUUCAAAAUUGUCUCAAAUUGAGGAGUUCCUGUUGCAGCUCAGCAGGUUAAGAAUCUGACUAGUGUCCAUGAGGAUGUGGGUUCAAUCCCCGGCCUCGUUCAGUGGGUUAAGAUCCUGUAUCACUGCCAGCUACAACGUAGGCUCUGAUUUGACCCUUAGCCUGGGAACUACCAUAUGCUGCCCAUGCGGCCCUAAAAAGACCAAAAAAAAAAAAAAAAAAGUCUCAAAUUGUCUCCACAUCAUCCAGCUUUCAAAGGAGGAGGAUAAACUUGGGCCAGGCGGUUCCUGAUGGCUGAGGGCCAGGCCCAGCUAAGAGUAUAACUGUGAGUUGUCAGCAGCUGAUAAGCCCACCUGCCGGGGUACAGGUGGGUUGCCCCCAAGGAGGGGACCUGGGCAGGCAUAAGAGUAUUUACUACGAGUAGUCAGUAUUUCUAGGGUAUGAUGGGCUCUCUGAGAUCUAGCUACAUUCCCUCUUUUCUUGAUACAACGGAAAGGAAGAAGGCUCUUAUUUAUUGGGGUCUUCUGAUGUAGCAGAUUCUAUACUUAAGGACGUCACACUUAUCAUCUCUAAUCCCAGCCAAGUAACUGCUACUAGCUCCAUUUUACAGAUGAGAACACCAAGGCUCAGAAUUUCAGGAGGACGAAGCAACUUGUCCCCGGCCCCCCAGCUCAUUAUGUGGCAGAGCCGGGUUUUGACCUCAAAGCUGGACCCUUUAAUCCCCCGUCCACCACGAAGCUCAUGGAGCCCACGAAUGUUUACACACAUCAAUCCGACACUGCAAGAUCCUCAGCCAUCAAAGAAAGAUAAGGUAAUAUUCAGUAAACGCUGCUUCCUAAAUAGGAAAAGGGGCCUGAGACCCCAUUGAUACGCUGUUAAACAAAGAUUGAAACAAAAAAAGAACUUCUGGCGGCCCAGAUGGGUUGAGUAGAUCAAGGUUUGUACCACACGCUAUAAAUCAAAGUUAAUUACAUUUUUUGCUCCACACCGUACAUGGUGAAUUGGGUCAUAAUUUUUACAUAUGCUGCAGUGUUCACUUUCCACAUGGAAGCUCCUGGGGGAAAAGCAUCAAGACGGUCUUUCCUCGUAUGGCAACGAGCUCUGCAUCAACACAGGACAGCACAUCAUAAAUACCAUUCGAUGAUUUUCUUCCCUCACGGCCGUGGCCCAGACCCCAUCUGACAGCCUCUAAUGCAAUAUCACUCCCUGUAGUCCUCUCCCUGAAGGUUGGGUCUAGAAAAUACGGCACUCUGGAAAAUGCUGUAAAAGCUCUCCUCUUUAAUAAGGAUCCUGGUGUCCUGUGAUGGAUGCUAUAAAAUCGUGGACUGGCUGGUGUGUUCAUUGCCGUGUGGGCCCAUUAACAGCGUCUGGUUCUGCAGUAACAUACUUCAUGCCCUGAAGGAGGAGGUGGUCACCAGAGAGCAAAAGCGAAAGCAUUUAUUUUAAGUAACACUAGGUGACCCUGGAGUAAACACAGCUGUGCCCUCCCCGUGUCUUGUCAGUGCUGCUCCCUCAGUAGAUUAAAGAAAUCCAUGUUUUAUGGGGCCAUCACUUAUUCUGUAUAUACACCACUGAAGGCGGCUUUUCCAUCAAACCUUGCUGGCUGCCUAUAAGGUUUCAAGCCCUGGAAUUGGAUGAAGCGGAGAUGCUUCACGGGAACGCUUAGUUGCACAUGCUCUGAUAUUUUCAAAGGAGGUUGAGGAUCAGUUCUUAUUUGUCCCUAAGUGACUUACACGGCCUUUCUGGCUCUACACAACUUGUAGCUGCCCUUCUGAUUUCUUAAGACCCUUCCCACACACCCCCCGGCACCCCGCCCACCCAACACAGCCGGCCCAACACAGCUGGGAAUGGGCUCUUUUUCUUCUUUUUAGGGCUGCACCCGCAGCAUAUGGAGGCUCCCAGGCUAGGGAUCGAAUUGGAGCUGUAGCUGCCGGUCUACACUACAGCCACAGCCACAGCUACGCCAGAUCUGAGCCACCUCUGUGACCUACACCACAGCUCGUGGCAACGCUGGAUCCUUAACCAGGGAUCGAACCCACAUCCUCAUAGAGGCUAGUCGGAUUUGUUUCCACUGCGCCACUACAGGAACUCCCCAGAAUGGCCUUUAAGGAGAUUUUAUCUAGGCAGGUUCAGGUUGCUGGCUCUGUCAUCCGACAGCUGUGGGGCCUGGGUGGUUCCUUCGACUCACUGAGCCUCAUUUUUCUCAUCCUUAGAUGGGAGGCAUAAGUUCUGCUUCCUGGAAUUGUGCUAAGUGUGAUGGGUCAUCUCCAAGUUGGAGGGCAGAGGGGGGAAGGGAGUAGCAACACAAUAAGUCUCUUUAAGCUGCUGAGAAAAAAAAUUAGACUACAUAAGCAUGUAUUAAUUUAUACAACAUAAAAUUAUUAUAGGAGUUCCCGUCAUGGCGCAACGGAAAAGAAUCUGACUAGGAACCAUGAGGUUUCGGGUUUGAUCCUUGGCCUCGCUCAGUGGAUUGAGGAUCUGCGUUGCCAUGAGCUGUGGUGUGGGUCACAGAUGCGGCUCAGAUCUGGCAUUGCUGUGGCUAUGGUGUAGGCCAGCAGGUGUAGCUCCAAUUGGACCUCUAGCCUGGGAACCUCCAUAUGCCAUGGGUGCGGCCCUAAAAAGACAAAAAAAUUAUUAUAUUAUUAUAUGUAUGUUAAUAAAUAUAAAUAUUUAUUAAAUGUAUACAUUUAAAAUCACACAAGGGCUAUAGCGAUAUUGUGUAGAUAUAUGUAUAUGUGGGUGUCUGUGGUUAUACAAAACUCUCGUGUGACUUCACACGUAUGAAAUUACUGCAGCAAUGCACAUAUAACUUACCUGUGUGCUGGGGUGAGCCGCUGGGGCCACCACACAGUAUAGACUUAGGCUGCCAGUGGUGGCGGUGAGCCCACUGCCCUGUGGUGGUGGUUUUCUCACAAGAGUUCUAUCACUUCUCCAGCCACUUCCUCUUCCUUGGUCACAAUUAGACCCAAAGAAACUGGACUUUUCAUCGCCAUCUCUACCUUCUACUAAAUAAGUGAUCAGGAAUUUUGGAGUUCCCAUCGUGGCUCAGCGGAAAUGAAUCUGACUAGUAUCCAUGAGAACGAAGGUUCAAUCCCUGGCCUGGCUCAGUGGGCUAAGGACCCUGUGUUGCUGUGAACUGUGGUGUAGUCACAGACAAGGCUUGGAUCUGGUGUAGUUGUGGCUGUGGCUUUAGUGUAGACCAGCAGCUACAGCUCCAAUUUGAUCCCUAGCCUGGGGAACCUCCAUGUGCCGCAGGUGCAGCC